AAAUAGAGAUGAUUAGCAUGAAUCUACAAGAUGGGGCAAAUCAUCCUGCUCUUCUGGGGUAUGAUUAUGGUGUGUUUAUGUGAUGAGGCAAAUUCUGCUCAUCCCCCAUGUGGGGAACUGUACCUUUAAGAGACUCUGACAUGUGCCAGACAUGGAGGAUCCUGUGAACAGUGGAACCGGUCUUCACUAGAAACUUAUACUGUAGAAGACUGGAAGGGACCCUGAGAUGUCAUCUUGUCCAGCCCCCCGUGCUGAGCAUUCUCUGAUAUUUACUGUGAAGGUUCCCGAAACUGACGGAGGGAAGCGAACACACAUUUAUCCUCCUCAAGAGCCACUCGAUCCAAGUCCGUAAGACGAUCACCUGCAAACUCAAUCAUGUGAAGCAUGGAUAGUGCAUGAAGCGGAGAGCGGUGUGCACACUAAAAUACAAAAUUGUAUGUAUGUACAGAUCAAAAGAAGAAAGAACACACUAACACUUAAGAAAACAAAGAAAAGCAGGAGCGAAGGCACUAUACGACUGAGCAUGCUGGACUGUAAACAAAAGAUGGCGGUCUUCUGGCUAUUACCAGCUAAGGGGGACACUAUACAUGACAUCAGCCCUACGAUGAAUCCCAUAUGAGUAUGAGCUUGGUAGGAUUGCUUCACAACACAGCCGUGUCCGAACUCACAUUUUUCCCGAUUUUAUCGGCAGUAAGACCAAUUAUUUAUUUAUUUAAAUAAAUUAUGAAGGCAUGGUCAGAAUUUUACCAGUAGCAGGUGGCCAAAAAAUCGCUGCCUUAGGAGACUGAUAGCAGACUUACUCAUAGAAAUACUAAUUUUAC